GACGAACGCUGGCGGCGUGCUUAACACAUGCAAGUCGAACGGAAAGGCCCUGCUUUUGUGGGGUGCUCGAGUGGCGAACGGGUGAGUAACACGUGAGUAACCUGCCCUUGACUUUGGGAUAACUUCAGGAAACUGGGGCUAAUACCGGAUAGGAGCUCCUGCUGCAUGGUGGGGGUUGGAAAGUUUCGGCGGUUGGGGAUGGACUCGCGGCUUAUCAGCUUGUUGGUGGGGUAGUGGCUUACCAAGGCUUUGACGGGUAGCCGGCCUGAGAGGGUGACCGGCCGCAGUGGGACUGAGAUACGGCCCAGACUCCUACGGGAGGCAGCAGUGGGGAAUAUUGAACCAUGGGCGGAAGCCUGAUGCAGCAACGCCGCGGGCGGGAUGACGGCCUUCGGGUUGUAAACCGCUUUCGCCUGUGACGAAGCGUGAGUGACGGUAAUGGGUAAAGAAGCACCGGCUAACUACGUGC
rnacentral:rRNA from 1 species